rnacentral:rRNA from 1 species
CCUACGGGAGGCAGCAGUGAGGAAUAUUGGUCAAUGGGCGGGAGCCUGAACCAGCCAAGUCGCGUGAGGGAAGACGGUCCUAUGGAUUGUAAACCUCUUUAGGCGGGGAGCAAUGCCGGGCACGUGUGCCCGGAGGGAGAGUACCCGCAGAAUAAGCAUCGGCUAACUCCGUGCCAGCAGCCGCGGUAAUACGGAGGAUGCGAGCGUUAUCCGGAUUUAGUGGGUUUAAGGGGUGCGUAGGCGGAUUUUUAAGUCGGCGGUAAAAUGUCCGGGCUCAACCCGGGCCGGCCGUUGAAACUGGGGAUCUUGAGUGGGCGAGAAGUAUGCGGAAUGCGUGGUGUAGCGGUGAAAUGCAUAGAUAUCACGCAGAACUCCGAUUGCGAAGGCAGCAUACCGGCGCCCGACUGACGCUGAGGCACGAAAGCGUGGGGAUCGAACAGGAUUAGAUACCCGAGUAGUC